GGAUGUGAGGGCAAUCUGGUUUUCACAUCUGUCACCCCAUUGAUCGCCAGGGUUGAUUCUGCUGAUCUGGCUGGCUAGGCAGGUGUUCCCUUCCUCCCUCACGGCUCCAUGUGCGUCCCUCCCGAAGUUGUGCAUUAAGUCGACGAGGAUGGCCUUCCCUGAAUAGAAACAGACUGGUCUUCAUGGAGGGUAUAUGAGUAGCUGCGCUCCCUUGCUAGAACCUCCAAACAAGCUCUCAAGGUCCAAGAAGUAUGACAGAGGACCUAGUGGGGGUAUCAUUAUAUAGAAAACUGGGAAAUAUUAUGCAUGUAUAAACUAUUGUAUUUA
ensembl:misc_RNA 7SK 7SK RNA